rnacentral:rRNA from 1 species
UACGUAGGGUCCAAGCGUUAUCCGGAAUCACUGGGCGUAAAGCGUGCGUAGGCGGGAGGUUAAGUGCAAUGCGAAAUCUUGUGGCUCAACCAUAUAGACUGUAUUGCAUACUGGACACCUAGAGGACGGCAGAGGCAAGUGGAAUUACUGGUGUAGCAGUGAAAUGCGUAGAUAUCAGUAGGAACACCAAUGGCGAAGGCAGCUUGCUGGGCCGACCCUGACGCUAAGGCACGAAAGCGUGGGGAGCGAACAGG